rnacentral:rRNA from 1 species
UACGUAGGGUGCGAGCGUUGUCCGGAAUCACUGGGCGUAAAGGGCGCGUAGGCGGAUCUUUAAGUCAGGGGUGAAAGCCUGAGGCUCAACCUCAGAAUUGCCUUUGAUACUGAAGAUCUUGAGACCGGAAGAGGUUAGUGGAACUGCGAGUGUAGAGGUGAAAUUCGUAGAUAUUCGCAAGAACACCAGUGGCGAAGGCGGCUAACUGGUCCGGUUCUGACGCUGAGGCGCGAAAGCGUGGGGAGCAAACAGG